CCUACGGGUGGCAGCAGUGGGGAAUAUUGGACAAUGGGGGGAACCCUGAUCCAGCCAUGCCGCGUGUGUGAAGAAGGCCCUCGGGUUGUAAAGCACUUUCAGUGAGGAAGAACGCCUGGUGGUUAAUACCCAUCAGGAAAGACAUCACUCACAGAAGAAGCACCGGCUAACUCCGUGCCAGCAGCCGCGGUAAUACGGAGGGUGCGAGCGUUAAUCGGAAUUACUGGGCGUAAAGCGCGCGUAGGUGGCUUGAUAAGCCGGUUGUGAAAGCCCCGGGCUCAACCUGGGAACGGCAUCCGGAACUGUCAAGCUAGAGUGCAUGAGAGGAAGGUAGAAUUCCCGGUGUAGCGGUGAAAUGCGUAGAGAUCGGGAGGAAUACCAGUGGCGAAGGCGGCCUUCUGGACUGACACUGACACUGAGGUGCGAAAGCGUGGGUAGCAAACAGGAUUAGAUACCCUAGUAGUC
rnacentral:rRNA from 1 species